UACUAAUUCACACGCGUUUCGACACAACGACCUGGGUGCCUGAUUAAAGGGUUGGUCUUUGGGAAGCGCGGAGGUUUAAC
rnacentral:sRNA from 1 species